UCAAUUGGGCAUUGGUUUGCUGUCUCUCCUUGGGUCCUCCUCCCUCCUCUUCUCUUCUAACUUCAUCGUCGUCGUCGUCAUCAUAUCUUUUAUCCUCUUUCUUCUUCAAUGGCCUCAGCGUGAUGUACCCUUGCACUUUCUGCAAUUAGAUCUGUGUGUUUUGUUUCUCUUUCUUUUUAAAUUUCUGGGUUGCUCAUCAUGGCUGAUAAUAAGGAAAUGUCUGCCCCUGUUGUGGAUGGUAACGAUCCAGUCACCGGUCACAUCAUUUCGACAAAUAUUGGAGGCAAAUAUGGAGAACGUAAACAGACCAUCAGUUAUAUGGCCGAGUGUGUAGUGGGUACAGGAUCCUUUGGGAUAGUUUUCCAGGCGAAAUGCUUGGAAACCGGGGAGACCGUGGCUAUAAAGGAGGUUUUGCAAGACAGAAGAUAUAUGAACCGUGAACUGCUGUUGAUGUGGUGGGUGCUGGAUCAUCCGAAUGUGAUUUCCUUGAAGCAUUGUUUCUUUUCCACGACAGCAAAAAAACAAGCUUUUCCUUAACUUGGUCAUGGAAUAUGUUCCGGAGAGCAUGCAUAGAGUCUUGAAACAUUAUAGUGGUGCAAACCAAAGAAUGCCGCUUAUAUAUGUGAAACUUUACAUGUACCAGAUAUUCAGGGGGUUGCAUACCUCCAUUUUGUUGUUGGAGUUUGCCAUAGAGAUUUGAAGCCUCAAAAUAUUUUGGUUGAUCCUUUGACUCACCAAGUUAAGAUUUGUGAUUUUGGAAGUGUAAAAGUGCCUGUCAAAGGUGAACCUAACAUUUCAUACAUAUGUUCACGUUUCUAUCGCGCUCCCGAACUUAUCUGUGGUGCUUCUGAAUACACAACCUCGAUUGAUAUCUGGUCAGUGGGUUGUGUUCUUGCUGAGCUUUUACUGGGCCAGUUCAGUGUUUGCCUCCUUUACACACACAAACAUACUCUUUAUCUUUCUUGAAAUUUUCUCUGCUCAUUCAUGCCAAAUUUUCUUGUUAAGCCAUUGUUUCCUGGGGAGAAUGCUGUGGAUCACCUUGUAGAGAAUAUUAAGGUCCUUGGUACACCAACUAGGGAAGAAAUUCGCUGUAUGAAUCCGAAUUACACGGAUUUUAGGUUUCCACAGAUUAAAGCGCAUCCAUGGCAUAAGGUUUUUCACAAAAGGAUGCCUCCUGAAGCAAAUGAUCUUGCUUCACGACUGUUGCAAUAAUCACCAAGUCUUCGCUGUACAGCGCAUGUGCACAUCCCUUCUUUGAUGAGCUUCAAGAACCUAAUGCUCGCCUACCAAAUGGACGAGCCUUGCCACCCCUUUUCAACUUUAAACAGGAAGCAUGUUUUUCAAUUCUCAUUAAAUGUUUUAGAUGUUAUCCGGGACCGCUCCAGAGCUUGUUAAUAAAUUGAUUCCGGAUCAUGUGAAACGGCAAAUGGGGUUAGAACAUUUCAUGCAUCUAGCUGGGUCGUAAAACGUCAAAAGUGGUAUAAGACUUGAUAUAUCUCCUGGUUGAUGCAUGACAAAGAUGAAGGAAAAUCUUUGAAUAACCACCAUGGAUCGAGUUCUGUCCAGCAUAAUUUUGUACCCUUCCAAGAUGCGUACAGUCUCUGGCAGUCAGAUGAUCUUCUCUCUCCCUAUCUCAUCAUCUUUCUACUUAAAUUCCGUCUCUGCUCUCUUAAUCUGAGUUUACAUUAUGUGAAAAUGCCUUUUUUUUGGUAAUGUAUAUGUAUGUAACGCUUUUGAUAGUAAAAGAUGACUUUUAAGAGGGGGUGAUAUGCCAGAAAGCUGUAAGUGAAGAAAAAGUAAAGUGUAAAUGCUGAUAGAUAUGGCUGCUGGAAGAUAAUGGGGCGUGUGGCUAAAGUUGGUUCUUGGGUUGGGUGGUUAGUUACCGAAUCAAAGACGAUUAUUCUUGCUAUUUGUUCCAAGUAAUG